CCACAGGAGGCCCCACCAUGUCAGAAGUGGCUGCUCUUCGCCUGUGUGAUCAUAUACAGGCGUGGAGGCAGAAACAUCCCGCUGAGCCUUGGCUGCAGAGAGGAGAAGGUGCAUUUUGACUGGAACCCACCGUAAGCUGGUUUGGGUUUCGUUUAGUUUCUGUAGGCAGGCUGGAGGGGUGAAGUCUAAGGAAGCGAUAUUCUGUCUUGCGCAUCUUGAACAUAGUGACUGAAGAAAGCAAAGUUCUUUGGCUGGCACACCUUUGAAAUCAACAGCUUUUUAAAAGUCAGGUUUUGGAGUUCUGUAUCUGUAGUGAUGAAGAGAUGAAAGCAGAGUUGGCUCUCUGGAAAAAUGCAUUUACGGUCUCAAUUUUAAAACAUCGUUUGGAGGUCGGCGAUGGAAGCAGCGGUAACCUUUAACGCCGCGGGGAAUGGGAACGCGGCAGCGCGAGUUGCCGCCGGAGGACAUCGGGACCCACCCUUCCAGCGGCAGGUAACCGCUCCGCGCGGCGCUUUUAUCACUGCAGCUUCGGGGGAGCGAUUCUCACCGGGGCCGCGGCGCGGGGGUGCGAGUGCUGCCGGCCGGGCGGGGGGCGCCACGGGAGCGCAGCCACACGCGGCCCCGCGGAGCUGUCACACGCGUGCUCUGGGGGGCUAAGCCUUCCCCCCGCCCGGUCGACAGCGGUGAGUACUUCGGGAGGAGGGGGGCAGGAUCCCGCGCUUGGUGAGAGUCUAUCGGGGGAGGCUGCGGGCUCCUAUCUGCGCCGGGUGCCGGGGUGCGCCUGGCCGCGGCAGGCACGGCCGCGUCCCGGGGGCCUCGCCGUCCGCCCUGCCGGUAGGGGCGGGGAAAAGGUCGCGGCCCCCUGGCUGCCGGCGCUGGCCCUCCACCCGCCGAGUUGCCCGGGAGGGCCGUCCGAGAUAAUGCGUGAGGUGCCGCCGGGUUCGUGCUGCGGAGCCGCUGUCCGGGCUGGGUAGGGAAGGGAGGGCGCGGGUCCUCCCCGGAGCUGUGCCGGGUGAAUCCCCGAAUUGGGCGCUCGUUGUGCUGCGGUCCUCCCGCAGCAGCCCAGCCGCCGCCUCCCCUCAAGGCACGGGCAGCUCGGGGAACGCGGACGUCUCCCGUACGGGGAGAGCACCUGGAAAGACACUUUCCCUCGCCGGGUCGGCUCGCCCCGGGCCGGGUCACUUCCCCUCGGUCCUGCAGGGGCGGCGGCUUCUCCGCUCGGUGCCCGGGGCUGCGACCCCGCCGCCCUCGGGGCUCCCGCGGGACGUGCGCGGGGCUGCGGGAAGCGGAGCAGCACGUACUUACGGGGCCGCCCGCAUCCCUCUGGCGGUCUCGCCACGUCUCCCAAAGCGAAGGGAUGUUAGGGUGAGAUUUAGUGGCGCU
ensembl:lncRNA